rnacentral:misc_RNA from 1 species
GUGGGAGCGAGCUUGCUCGCGAUGGCGGCGUGUCAGGCGCCAUUGAUGUUGGAUGUGCCGGCCUAAUCGCGAGCAAGCUCGCUCCCAC